GUGGGGAAUAUUCCGCAAUGGACGAAAGUCUGACGGAGCAACGCCGCGUGAGUGAUGAAGGUUUUCGGACUGUAAAGCUCUGUUGUUUAGGACGAAAGUGCCUGUUGCAAAUAGUUACAGGUAUUGACGGUACUGAACGAGGAAGCCACGGCUAACUACGUGCCAGCAGCCGCGGUAAUACGUAGGUGGCAAGCGUUGUCCGGAAUUAUUGGGCGUAAAGAGCAUGUAGGCGGGAAUCUAAGUCUGUUGUGAAAAUGCGGGGCUCAACCCCGUAUUGCGAUGGAAACUGGGUUGCUUGAGUGCAGGAGAGGAAAGGGGAAUUCCCAGUGUAGCGAUGAAAUGCGUAGAUAUUGGGAGGAACACCAGUGGCGAAGGCGCCUUUCUGGACUGUGUCUGACGCUGAGAUGCGAAAGCCAGGGUAGCGAACGGGAUUAGAAACCCCUGUAGUCC
rnacentral:rRNA from 1 species